AAUGUAUUACUACAGGCUGAAACACCUUCCUUUUGGAGCUGCCUCACUCAAAACAAAAGAGGGGGAGUGGACGACUUGAAUUAAGUCUGAAGCCGGUAACAUCAACAGUGAGGACAAACCCAGCCUGCCUCUCUCCUUCCACACUGAGUCCAAACCUACAGUCACUGUGUCCUGAUUGUGACAGUGGAGCCCAGUUUGCACCGCAGGAUCCAGUGAUGGCAUCAGUGAAGAUGGAGGACUGCAGUCAAACACUGGAGCUGAAUGUCAACAUUAAAGAUGAAGAAGAGGAGGAGAAGAUUAGGACAACUGUUAGUCAUGGACGACUAGAAUAAAGUCUGAUGCCGGUAACAUCAAUAGUGAGGACAAACCUAGCCGACCUCUCUCAUUCCAGACUAUGUCCAAACCUACAUUCAUUCACUGGGUCCUGAUUGUGACAGUGGAGCCCAGUUUGCACUGCAGGAUCCAGAGAUGGCAUCAGUGAAGCUGGAAGACUGCAGUCAAACACUGGAGCUGAAU